rnacentral:rRNA from 1 species
UGGCGGCAUGCCUAACACAUGCAAGUCGAACGGUAACGCGAGGAGCUUGCUCCUUGGCGACGAGUGGCGGACGGGUGAGUAAUACUUGGGAAUCUGCCCAGUAGUGGGGGACAACAUUCGGAAACGGAUGCUAAUACCGCAUACGCACUACGGUGGAAAGUGGGGGAUCUUCGGACCUCACGCUAUUGGAUGAGCCCAAGUCGGAUUAGCUUGUUGGUGAGGUAAUGGCUCACCAAGGCGACGAUCCGUAGCUGGUCUGAGAGGACGAUCAGCCACACUGGGACUGAGACACGGCCCAGACUCCUACGGGAGGCAGCAGUGGGGAAUAUUGGACAAUGGGCGCAAGCCUGAUCCAGCAAUGCCGCGUGUGUGAAGAAGGCCUGCGGGUUGUAAAGCACUUUCAGUAGAGAAGAAAAGCCUAGGGUUAAUACCCCUGAGUCUUGACGUAACCUACAGAAGAAGCACCGGCUAACUCCGUG